UAUCGCCAACCUUUCUCUUAUAAACUGGGGAUAUCGCUGCUUUGAAGGAGUUGUGUGUAUACUAGCGAGAAUACACGUGGUUGAGAAAGCAGCAUAGUUCUAACUAAACGGGGUUUAACGACAGCAAGACAGCCACCACAACUUUCCAAUACAAAUUAUAGUAACAAACAAGUUAGAAGAACUUAACAAGAGGUAACCAUGCCAACGAGAUUCGCCAUAUUUGCUUUAUGUUUAGCUGGUGUUGUACUAUUUGAGGAAGUUUCCUCCAGAUACAUAGAAUGUCCAGAUGGUUGUUAUAUAUCAGUGGGCAGUCAUUGUGUGUGUCCAAUUGGAGGAUCAUAUGACAAGCGCGGCGUUAGGUUACCUUUUAGAUACGGAAAACGAAAUACCAAAUUACCAACAAAAAAUACAUUUAGAGAAGGUAUUCUUAACAAUAUAAACCCAUAUCGACUGUAUGAUUUAGAAGAAGAUAAAUAGAUAUCAGUAUCUCCCACAAGAUCUGAAGACCAACACCAUAACUUACAGACACAUCUUUUGUUAAUACAUUUAUAUCACCCCAUCAUAAUAUGUUUAAAGUGAUAAUUCAUUUAUUAUUAUAAAAUAUAUUAUUAAAUUUUAUGACGAUUCAUCUGUAUUAAGGGAAAACAUGAUUGAUUGUAUAGUUAAAUCAACUUGGAACAAUGUCUUUGAAAAUAUUAAAAUGUACCAUUCUUCUGUAAUUGUCUUCAACUAAUUAGUAUCUAAAGUAAUAUCAGUCAUGAACAUUAUACCAAAACAACUGUUAUUAUAAUUGACAGAUACGUGUAUAUUACUGAAAUGAUUAUCUGACAUUAUCUCCAGUUUCUAUGAAAAGUUUUACCAAGUUCGACAAUAUAUAUUAUUUCGUUCGUGACCCUGUUUUAUAUAAAAGCAUAUAAUUUAAAGUUAAUUCAGAGAUGGAAUCAGAAUUAAAACAGUAAUGUUGGGACCGAAGUUGUUUGGCUCUUUUUUUUAAUAUAUAUUCUAGGUUUAUCUGUUUAUGUUAUAGUAAUACUAAUUUUUCGUUUUGUAUCACAUAGUUUUUGUAGAAUUUUCCCUAAAAUACAUUCGUUUCAUAAUGUAACAACUUAUUUUAAUACUUUAUCAUGUGUUUUAUAACGUACCCUGUCUUAUACAUUCGAGUAUAUCGUUAUUACUAAUAUUAAGAUAUUUUAUGUUAUAAUUCUUGUGUACUUAUUAUAUUCUGUCUUUAAAUUUGAGUAAAUCUGUUUUUAUUAUAUUGCAUGACGUACAACAAAAACGUGAACUUGUUUUGGUUAGGCUAUAUCUUCUUGUGUUUGGUACUCUUGAAAUUUUCCAUUCGGAUUCAUAUCAUAAAAUAAUGAAGAGCUAAAUAUAUAAGUAUAUAUAAAUGUAUAUUCUUUCAACUAUUUCAUAAA